UCCAUUUAUUUGUUUGGAUGCAAAUGUAUAGGAAACAAAUUCUCUAAAACAGGGAUGUCCAGCAGGUCGAUCGGGAUUAACUGGUCGAUCCCCAGGAGGUUGCAGUCGAUUGCUGUUGAUCACGGGCUCAUUUUCCUUUGCUUUUGCCUAAGAGCACCUGGCCCUGGCCCCUGCUUGGAUUUUCUCCUGAUAUCUGUAACGGAAGACAGAGUUUUUCACAGCGCUGAUUUGACCUUCUUUCACCAUGGGAAGAGAGGAGGAGACUGGGCAGCACAGACAGAAGGCACACCACCAAAUUGAUACUCUGGAGGAGCUAAGCAAAGGAUCUGGCUGUUAGGAUGGGCUAAGUGGAAUAGACAUUUGUUUCUAAAAAAAGAAUGUCAAGAGAUAAUUCCUUAUUUUUGCUAAAGGGAAGCACAACUUUUCUUGGCCAACUUUUGGCUGAAAUGAUAAGCAUAUUACAGAUGUUUACUUUCUCAUUUUUGUUUUCAUGGUCAAAAAUAAAGAUCUCUCCUAUUGAUAUUCUU